AGUGAACGCUGGCGGUAGGCCUAACACAUGCAAGUCGAACGGCAGCACAGUAAGAGCUUGCUCUUACGGGUGGCGAGUGGCGGACGGGUGAGGAAUACAUCGGAAUUUACUUUUUCGUGGGGGAUAACGUAGGGAAACAUACGCUAAUACCGCAUACGACCUACGGGUGAAAGCAGGGGAUCUUCGGACCUUGCGCGAGGGAAUGAGGCGAUGUCGGAUUAGCUAGUUGGCGGGGUAAAGGCCCACCAAGGCGACGAUCCGUAGCUGGUCUGAGAGGAUGAUCAGCCACACUGGAACUGAGACACGGUCCAGACUCCUACGGGAGGCAGCAGUGGGGAAUAUUGGACAAUGGGCGCAAGCCUGAUCCAGCCAUGCCGCGUGGGUGAAGAAGGCCUUCGGGUUGUAAAGCCCUUUUGUUGGGGAAGAAAGGCAGCAGGUUAAUACCCCGCUGUUCUGACGGUACCCAAAGAAUAAGCACCGGCUAACUUCGUG
rnacentral:rRNA from 1 species